rnacentral:rRNA from 1 species
GAUGAACGCUGGCGGCGUGCCUAAUACAUGCAAGUCGAGCGGACGGACGCGGAGCUUGCUUUUCUGAUGUUAGCGGCGGACGGGUGAGUAACACGUGGAUAACCUACCUAUAAUACUGGUAUAACUUCGGGAAACCGGCGCUAAUACCGGAUAAUAUUUUGCACCGCAGUGUUCGAAAGUGAAAGACGGUCUUGCUGUCUCUAAUAGAUGCAUCUCCGCUGCAUUAGCUAGUUGGUAAGGUAACGGCUUACCAAGGCAACGAUGCAUAGCCGACCUGAGAGGGUGGUCGGCCACACUGGAGCUGGGACACGGUCCAGAGUCCUGCGGGAGGCAGCAGUAGGGAAUGUUCGGCAGUGGGCGAAAGCCUGGCGGAACAACGCCGCGUGAGUGAUGGAGGUCUUCGGAUCGUAAAACUCUGUUAUUAGUGAAGAACAUAUGUGUAAGGAACUGUGCACAUCUUGACGGUACCGAAUCAGAAAGCCACGGCUAACUACGUG